GUCCUUUUGAAUUUAAUUUAAGGUUUAACCUGCCCACUGAAAUUAUUUGAAGGGCCGCAGUAAUUUGACUGUGCAAAGGUAGCAUAAUCAUUAGUUUUUUAAUUAAAAGCUUGUAUGAAGGGUUGGACGAGGUAAAUUCUGUCUCUAUAUAAUUUAAAAUAGAAUUUAAUUUUUAAGUUAAAAAGCUUAAAUAUUUUUAAAAGACGAGAAGACCCUAUAGAUCUUUAUAUUGAAAAUAUUAAUUUUAAUUAAGAAUAAUUAAUUUUUUAAUAUUUAUAAUAUUUUAUUGGGGUAAUAAAAAGAUUAAAUAAAUUCUUUUUUAAUUUUUACAUUUAUUAAUGGUUAUAUGAUCCAAUUUUAUUGAUUAAAAGAUUAAGUUACCUUAGGGAUAACAGCGUAAUUUUUUUAGAGAGUUCAUAUCGAUAAAAAAGUUUGCGACCUCGAUGUUGGAUUAAAAAUUAUCUUAGGUGCAGAAUUUUAAGAUUUUGGUCUGUUCGACCAUUAAAUUUUUACAUGAUCUGAGUUCAGACCGGUGUAAGCCAGGUCGGUUUCUAUCUUUAAUAAAUUAUAAUAUUUUAGUACGAAAGGACCAAAUAUUUAAUAUAUUUAUAUUUAAUUAUUUUGAAUAU
rnacentral:rRNA from 1 species